GGUCACACAGUGCAGCGUAUCGGCUGGCUGAGGGCCGCACCUUCUUUGGCUUGGUUGUCUGAGGUGGUUGUUGCCACUGAGCUACAGAUUGAAAAGGGAAGAAAAAAUGUUAGCCAUCAUCUGAGCUGGGCAAUGAAGUGUGCCAGAUCCACCCUUUGUAAAGGAGAUACUAACUUCUGAGCUGCCAACAACCAUUGUAUCAGAGUCAGGUCUCCAGGAGCCUGCAGGAAAUGAGGCCGGAAGAAUCGUUCCUGAAUGGGUUCAUUUUCAUCACCACUGUCCCUUGAUCGAGAUCGUGGUCUUAAAAUAACAUAAAAUAAAGGUAAAUUAUUUUUCUCUGCUAAAUCAGAACCACCAAAAUCACUUACAUACAUUGCUUUGAAUUUUAAAUCACUCCUUUGACCUAUGCCAUAAUCACUCUGUAUUUACACACAUACACUGAGCACUUGGCUCAGACCGAGUUAAUUAUGACACAGUACUUAAUUACUUUCAUUUAACUCACGUUAUGGCAAAAUAUGAUCUAGAAGACAAUCUUGCUACAGAAUAAUUGCUUGUAGCAAUCUUUUAUUUAUACAUGGUAGUAUUUUUGUUUAGAGUUGGUCCUUAAAUGACUGAAACACAAAUAAAAUAACUCAGUAGGCCUUAGCAUAAAGCUCAGUUCCUCAUUUCUGGUGUUCGGUGUAUUUAAUCCCUUCACUGUUGCUGAUGACACCACCAAGUGUGUGUAGUUCAUUAAUUACAUUUAUCUUUCAGAAAAAAACAGCAGCUAAAAGCUAUCUUAUCUCAGCUGAGGAGAGACUUCUCACAACAGACUGACUUUUCACCAUCUCUUGUUCUGCACUACCAAAGACUAUACAGAAAAGUCUGUGGAUUAAAGUGCUGUGGGUAUUUAUUCCUCAUUUAGCAGUUUUUUGUUUGAGAUAGAUAGAUAGUCUUGAACACUUUCAAAGCCACUAAACUGUGGUGUCAAAACCAUGAGGAUUUCAUUUGUGAGCACCAGGAAGAAAAGCUUCCGUCACUAGAUUGUUCUUUAUAAAGGUGCUGUGAAAAGUUCAAUAAAAAAUAAAAAGAAGGAAAAAUAACUCCUGUCCCCAGAAACAGCAUCAAUCAUCUUAAACCUCCAGGAUAUCAUUUAAUCCAUUGCACUGGCUGUUCUUGCCUGUUAAUUUAAUCUAUUAAAUCUUUUUCUAAGUGGUUCCUCAUUUAACUGGAUUUUUCCCCAAUUGAAAUCAACAUUAUUCCACUUGUGUGAUUCGGUAAUCAGAGAGGCUUGGAACUGAAACAGAAUUUGAGAUCAGUUUUUGUCCUUGCCUGAUCAGCUCCAGUGGGUCCCAUUCUGGAGCCAGCUGCUGCCUUGCAAUGACAUCCUGUUGCAGUGAAGAGGAGCUAUUCAGCUGUCCUCCAGGGUAACUUACAUCAGUGACACUGUACAGUGAAAUUCUCUUUUGUGAAUCUCAUUUUCCGUUACCUUUUGCCAGUGUUUCUGUGUCUGCAGGAUACAUGCUGCACUAUACGUGGCUAUACUGUGUUUUAUACUGCCCAGGGGGGUUUCUUUAGGUUAAAAUAAUUCAUAACAAAAAAAGCUCAAACCUCCCAACAGUUACAUCUGGAAAACAAGAUGCUGUACUACUGUGCAGCAGAUAAACACUCCAGCUGCACACUGAGGGGAAGCAUAGUUAAGAGUUGCUUGAAUCUCGUGUGUUUUGUCCUUCUCUGUUGUUGCCCUUCUCUCUAUUACUGCUCUGUUUGACUUCUGAAUUAUCUCUCCUAAAUAGAUAACUUUUAAUGAUCAUCACAGGCUUCCCAUAGCUAUAACUAAAGGCAGAUGUGUGUGUCUGGGAAAUCUAUCCUGUACUGCUUAUCAGCGUACAAUGGAUACCAAACUGGGCAACGCAGACUGGCACUUUGCACAUCAUAAAAGCUUGAGUAACUCUUGAGGUGCCCCUGGCCAGGUCUGGAGCACUUAAUAUUUUUUUUUUCUACUUGAACAUGCCUAAAGCUACUUCAGUAGCUGCUGUGUUACAGCUCAUGAGCAAGACUAAGCUCUAGUUGGCAAGUUCCUAACUGAUUUCUGCAGACAUCCAUGCCUUGUGUGCGUGUAGGUGGGGUAGAGAUGGAUGGAAGCAAAGAAAACCUGUACUUGUAUCUUUUGGUUAUUCGUUUUGCAAGACUACCUGGAAGUGAUGGAUCUGGGCACGUGAGUUCUACACAGUGUGGGCAACCCACAGAACAUCCGUCUUCAUAGUGCUCAUGUGCGUCCUGUUUAGGUGCUGUUGAUAAAGCACCUAUGAAGUACAAGUAACCAGUGCAAGGCUGAGCCAAACAGGUCAACUAGCCCAUCUGAAAGCCACCACCUCACUGCUGCAGCUCCAUGGAAAGGCAGCUCUGAUCAAAACAGGGGAGAAAUUACAGAGUUUGUGACCAAAGCUGGUUUUUUGAUAGUAUGUUUUCGAAUUGUGCAAACUAAGUCUUCGAAUUACACAUGUGAAAGGAAACCUAAAUGAGCAAGCUGUUCGGAGUCAGAAGUAAAUGACACGUUUCUUUUUACCUCUUUGUAAACUUGCCUCUGGAAUUGCAGACUUACUUUUUAAGCAUUUUUACCUUGAGAGGUGAAACUAAGGUUAUUUUAAUUGUAAAACAUUUUGUGGUUUUCAAGAAACAACAAAAUGAGUAGAGCCAAGUACUUCAGAUGUCUAGGAAUGACAAAUUGCAGGAGACUGGAAUACCCUUGGAUUAGCCGUGUGUUCUUCAGAGCUGUGAUGUGGGCAUCAAAUUGCAGAAACUAGUUUCAGCAAUACUGAUAUCAUGUACUAAAUGUGGCCAGGAGAGACUCUGUGGGCUGCUGUGGUGCAACGCACCAGGAAUGUCGGCGAGUGAGAAGCUGGGGAAGACUUUAUGACUGACCAUAUGAUAAUGAUCACUAAUUUGGGAUAAACGAGAUUAAGUUCAAAUUAAUCCUCUAAUUAAGAGCAAGGGCAAUAGGACUAUUUCUUUUUUAAAUCUUCCCUAAAUCUUAUGCAUUGUAGGAUGAUUUAUGUGGGGCUCUGGCUGCAGCGCACCACGAGAGAGCUACAGUGUUGAGCACCGUGGCGCCUAAGGGGUUGACCCACAGCUUGGUACACAUCGGACAGUUCAAAAGUUCCCUCCCCACUGACAAAGUAAUGCUAAGAAUGUGCUGUUUGCAAGCUAAGCACAUUUAAGAAAAAUAUAUCAAAAACGGAAUAAUAACUACAAAGAGUGCUUUAAAAUGUCCAUGACGUGGUGAAGAUGACAAAAACUAGAGUUCUGCCAGAACACAUUCUGUGUGAGAGAUUAAAAGUACUUCAGGAAAAAGCCUGUCAAUGGUGUAACAAGUCAUAAAGUUCAUUAAGCUAAUAAUUAUACUUGUAAAAAAAGCCCAACACUUGUUGCUCUCAAGCAGAAAAGCUUAUAGAAAUCAUACUGUAAUCCCAGGAAUAUCACUUAUCAAAAGUACCCAGCGUGCAUGUGACAAAUACCACAGCACAGGGGGGUGCGUUACAAGCGAACAGCCGGUGGCAGGGGCUGUUUUAGGGGGACACAACAACCCCCCUGGCCUUGGUGACACUGGCUGGUGGGAGGAGUGGGAAACGUCCCCUAAGCAGAAAUAGAAGUGUGCUGAAUGCUGAGCAGAAAGAGACCUUCCAUAAGUAAAAGUAUCAAGGGUUCGCUCUGCACAUAGGGUCAUUUUACAGGAAAUAAGAAUCCCCAAUAAUUGCCCUAAUUUUAAUUAAACUGCUAUAUAGAAAUCUCUUAUUUAUAAUUUGUUACUCUACUGGACACCCAGCCGUAGUGAUAGUGUCUGCCUGAAAAUAAAGCAUCAGCCAUAAGCAGC